rnacentral:rRNA from 1 species
GACGAACGCUGGCGGCGCGCUUAACACAUGCAAGUCGAACGGUGAAGCGCCUUCCUUUUUGGUGGGCGUGGAUGAGUGGCGAACGGGUGAGUAACACGUGAGUAUCCUGCUCCCUUCUUCUGGAUAACCGCAUGAAUGUGUGGCUAAUACGGGAUAUUCUGGGUCUGUCGCAUGAUGGGUCUGGGAAAGAUAUUGUUUCGGUGGGGGAUGGGCUCGCGGCUUAUCAGCUUGUUGGUGGGGUGCUGGCCUACCAAUGCGGUGACGGGUAGCCGGCAUGUGAGGGUCGUCGGUGACACGAGGUCUGCGACACGUCUCGAACUCCUGCAGGAAGCAGCAGGGAGUGAUAUUGCACAGUAGGCGCAAGCAUGAUGCAGCGACGCCGGGUGGAGGAUGGAGGCCAUCGGGUUGUGAACCUCUUUCACCAGUGAAGCAGGCCUGCCUCAUGUGUGGGUGGAUUGACGGUAGCUGGAGAAGAAGAGCCGGCUAACUACGUG